ACUACCACUACCUGUGACUGCCUGAUUUUAUAGUGAGUGCAGUAGACUACCACUACCUGAUUUUAUAUUGAGUGCACUAGACUACCACUACCUGUGACUGCCUGAUUUUAUAGUGAGUGCACUAGACUACCACUACCUGUAUUUCAGGUUAGUCUCUUGCUUGUUACAAUGAGGAAAGAGGAAUAUCCCCUAUAUACCUGUCAGAAAGUGAUACAUAUGUAGGUCAAGAUUGGUUCGUCCCCCGGAGUCCGUCCACAACUUUCUUGGCCCAAAGGAAAUAUUCUGUGACUCUGGCUUCCGUCCAUCCACCUGGGGUACAACGGUUGAGAUCACGCAGAUUGUACAGCUUGUCGGCCAGCUUGACCAGCUUGGCCUUGUAGCUUGCAUGGGGAGCAUGCUCAAUCUGCUUUUGUUUUCGGUCCAACUUUGGCAAAUUUUUGUCAUCAGUGACUUCUCGCACAAUACCUAUAAUUAAAAAUAAUCAUUGAUCUUUGGAUGCAAUAUACAAUUUGUAAUUUGAACUUUGGUCUCUAAAUUGAAUGCUAUUUUCAACUGA